rnacentral:snRNA from 1 species
GUGCUUUGAAGCACAAUUUCAAAGAGAACUUUCACUUCAGUAGCACAUAUAAUAAAAUUGGAACAAUAUAGAAGUUAGCAUGGUACCUGCACAAGGAUGACAUGCAAAUUCAUGAAGCAUUCUGUAUUUUU